GUAGAAGGCGUUUCGGGCGAGGCCCCGGCCCAAGUCCCUUGGAACAGGGCGUCGCAGAGGGUGAGAAUCCCGUACGCGGCCGAUGGCCGAGCCCAUGUGAAACCCUUUCGACGAGUCGAGUUGUUUGGGAAUGCAGCUCUAAAUGGGUGGUAAAUUUCAUCUAAAGCUAAAUAUCUGCCGGAGACCGAUAGCGCACAAGUAGAGUGAUCGAAAGAUGAAAAGCACUUUGAAAAGAGAGUCAAACAGUACGUGAAAUUGUUGAAAGGGAAGCGCUUGCAACCAGACUCGUUCGCGGGUGCUCAGCCGUCCCUCGGGGCGGUGCACUCUCCCGCGUUUCGGGCCAACGUCGGUUUCGGCGGCCGGACAAAGGCUUCGGGAACGUAGCUCUCUUCGGGGAGUGUUAUAGCCCGGGGUGCAAUGCGGCCAGCUGGGACCGAGGACCGCGCAUUAGCUAGGAUGUUGGCGUAAUGGUUGCCAGCGACCCGUCUUGAAACACGGACCAAGGAGUCGACCAAUUUGGCGAGUGUUAGGGUAUUAAACCCUUACGCGUAAUGAAAGUGACGUAGGUGGGAACCUUCGGGUGCACCAUCGACCGAUCCUGAUGUCUUCGGAUGGAUUUGAGUAUGAGCCUUGCUGGUCGGACCCGAAAGGUACGUUAUAUUUUUCGUGCCUAGUUUGAUAAAUUCUUACUAACAUUAUGUUUAGAUGGUGAACUAUGCGUGAAUAGGGUGAAGCCAGGGGAAACCCUGGUGGAGGCUCGCAGCGGUUCUGACGUGCAAAUCGAUCGUCAAAUUUGCGCAUAGGGGCGAAAGACUAAUCGAACUAUCUAGUAGCUGGUUCCCGUCGAAGUUUCCCUCAGGAUAGCAGCAACGAAAACAGUCUCAUGAGGUAGAGCGAACGAUUAGAGGUCUUGGGGUUGUAAUCGACCUUAACCUAUUCUCGAACUUCGAAUAUGUGAGAAGUCC
rnacentral:rRNA from 2 species